rnacentral:rRNA from 1 species
GUCGAGAAUCUUUCACAAUGGGGGCAACCCUGAUGGAGCGACGCCGCGUGGAGGAUAAGGUCUUCGGAUUGUAAACUCCUGUCAUGCGUGAACAAGGUUGCUUGGUUAAUACCUGGGCAAAUUGAUGGUAACGCAAGAGGAAGAGACGGCUAACUCUGUGCCAGCAGUCGCGGUAAUACAGAGGUCUCAAGCGUUGUUCGGAAUCACUGGGCGUAAAGGGUGCGUAGGUGGCGUGGUAAGUCAGAUGUGAAAGCCCGGGGCUCAACCUCGGAACUGCAUCCGAUACUGCCAUGCUAGAGUACUGGAGAGGUGACUAGAAUUCUCGGUGUAGCAGUGAAAUGCGUAGAUAUCGAGAGGAAUACCAAAGGCGUAGGCAGGUCACUGGACAGUUACUGACACUGAGGCACGAAGGCCAGGGGAGCGAACGGGAUUAGAAACCCUGGUAGUCC